GUUGCAUUGUUCAACAAACUGAGCCAAAACAUUAACUGUAUUGACUAAAAGAUGAACCAAAUGAUUAACUUGGACUUUUAUAGUGCUUGUAAAACUUCACUAUAACAUUAAUUUCCGGCAAAUAGUAUUAAUAUAUAGAGGAUGUUAGGGUUUGUAAUCCAAGUGAGAAUAUAUACAUUUUAAGACCUAACCAGGAACGACUGCGAAAAAUGCAACACAAGGUCCUCUGGUAGGAAUCGAACCUACGGCCCUGCGAUUCCGGAGCAGCGCUCUAACCAACUGAGCUACAGAGGCCAGCUGUUGAGCUGUAACCGUAAGUUCAUGUAUAUAUAGGUAAUCCAGUGUGCGGGUUGUGAUAUGGUGGACUUGAAUAACUAAUAUAUAGAUAUGCAAAACUUGCAUGACUCUAUAUAGCCCGUACAUCUUUGAAACUUUACUAACCUAUGAUGGACAUUCAGUGUAAUACGUUCUUCUGUGACUUGUUCUGUCUCAAGAUAUGUUGACGUGAUCAGUGUAGGGUAUGACUGUUUUACUACUUUUUUCUUCUUUCUCGUAUUCGAUUUUAAUUUUCGUCUUUUAUUCUCUGGAUCGUUCAUCUUUUGUUGAGAUCUAAAACAUCAACAGGACACAUGUUGAUAACAGAAGUUUUUUACUGAAUUGCCCCAUAUCCUCUGUAAAGAUUCGAUAAAACUAGUGAAUGUUAUCCAGAUGAAUGUUGUUAAAUAUAUAUUCGGUCAAUCCUUCAUCAGUACUAGUAUAGUAGUAUGUGUGCUUAGAAAUAAUUCGUUUUGCACUGUAAAAACUGAACCAUGGUUAGUAAAUUCACAAUUCCUCCAAAAGUGUCGAAUCUAUGUCAGACCCAUAAAAGGUCAGACCUUACGCUAAACUGUGAUAAAUCAUCAAAUUUGACUAUGGCGUACGUUAUUCUAUCCUAUCUUCAGGAACGCUGGAGAGAGAGGGGGCGCCCAGGAGGGAGGGUAUCGCCCUUUCGUAAGUGGAGCAAGGGGGCAAAGGUGCCCUUUUUUAUUUUAGGGAAAUAUUUGAGAUGUUUUAAAAAAGCA
rnacentral:lncRNA from 1 species